rnacentral:rRNA from 1 species
UGAUAUAAAUUAAAGGGCCGCAGUAUUUUGACUGUGCGAAGGUAGCAUAAUCACUAGUCUUUUAAUUGGAGGCUUGUAUGAAUGGUUGAAUGAGAUAUAUACUGUCUUUUUUAAAAUUAUAUAGAAUUUUAUUUUUUAAUUAAAAAGUUAAAAUAAAAUUAAAGGACGAGAAGACCCUAUAGAUCUUUAUUUUUGUUAUUUAUAAAUUAAAAAGAAUUUUAAAAUUUAUAAUUUAAUAAAAAAUUUUAUUGGGGUGAUAUUAAAAUUUAAAAAACUUUUAAAAUUUAUUAACAUAAAUAUAUGAAUAAAUGAUCCAGUUUUAUUGAUUAAAAAUUUAAGUUACCUUAGGGAUAACCAGCGUAAA